rnacentral:RNase_P_RNA from 1 species
GAAGCACGCCAGACCGCCGCUGGUGCAAUCUGGGAAACCAGGCACUGGAGGAACGUCCGGACUGCACAGGACAGCGUAGCAGCUAACGGCUGCCCACCGUGAGGUGAGGAUCAGAGCAACAGAGACGAGUCAGGUCGUUUUCAGCCACCAAGGGUGUUCUAUGGGGGGCCAGCGCAAGCUGGCACCGGCUGGCGCAAGCCAGACGCUCAGGCGCAAGCCUGAAGCCCCAUAGCCACCCAAGGCGCGGAACGCGACUUGGGUGAAACGGGCAAUCUCUACGCGCAGCAAUACCAAGUAGGCCAACGUUGAUGUGGUUCCGCAGAGUUGGCGGGUAGGUAGCA